UAUCAGAAAGAAGGAAGAAGGAAAUGGAUGCAGGGGAGGGAACCAACAACAUCCAUUACUUGCUGGGCCUGUCCUCCCUGAGAUAUGCUUUAAGGGAUCCUGACCAAAACAAAUUUCACUCAUCUUGGUGCUGCUCCUUGUUACUGCUGAAGUUCCCUUACAGUCUCCAGCUGCCCAUUUGGGAUUUUGAAUUCCAACGAGCCCGUGGAAGGUUAGUCCCUAAUCACCCUAGAUUGUAGCCCUGUGACACCUCAGGACUUCCACGACAGGACAUUUUCCUGGUGCUAAUUUACCAUAAAAAACAGUGAAGAGACAUAAAAAGUGGACUUUUUUUUUUUUUUUUGAUGAUGAUGAUAAAAGCAAGACAUUAUUCUACGGAUGCCAGAAGGUAGAAAUAACUUUUUCAAGAAAUCUGGCCAUGAACAGGAGGAAAGAGUGCGUCGCAGGCAGGUGGGGUCUGCCUAAACACAGAUGAGAGAGUUUGGGCAGCUCGCUGGACCCAGAAGCAGCAGCCGGUCCUGAAGGAGAGGGCAGGAUGAGGAAUUCUGAUGAAUGCCUUUUCAAAGAACACCCAGCCCUGAAGUCAAAUACCCUGCACUUCACGUUCAUGGUGACCUUCAGCAUUUCUAUCCCAUUUGCUCAUGGCCUUGCUCAAUGGGGGGCCUUUCCUUAACAUUCAAGGAAAUGGCCCCAAAGGGGUCACAGGGAACUCCCAGCCUUUCGUGGACAUCACAGAAAUGGCGACUAUGUGCGGACUCACACCUGGGACCCGCAGUGCUGCUGGGUCACGCCUACUUCUCUGUCUUGCUGCUUCGCUAGAAGUCCAGCAGCGUCCCUGUUGAAGCCACGACGCCUGUGCUACAAGAAAGAGAGCACGGAACGGCGAGGGGCAGAGAGGGAGACCAAAGCACUGAGAGCAGAGACCCCUUCGUGGGGAUCGAACUUACAAACCAUGAGAUCAUGACCUGAGCCGAAGUCGGAUGCUUAACAGACUGAGCCACCCAGGCGUCCCCACUCUCUGUUUUCUUGUCCUGCUUAUGUGCACCUAGAAUAACCUCUCCUACGUCGCAGAUCUCAGAAUAUAGUUCUGCUCCGGCGGCGUUAGUGUCCUCACGCUCAUGACAGGUUCACACAGGCCUGUCUGCACCUGUGUCCUCAGCUCUGUCUUCACCUGGAUUUGUUCUCGUCGUCGGGCGUUGUCCUAAUCUCUUUUUUCAGAGUCUACUCUUACAAAAUGUAUAGAGAACAGAAAACAGAUGCUUUCCAAAAAUGUAUGUAUGUUUCCUAUAAAAAGAAAUCUUAAAAUGCAUCCUUCGCCUUUGUAUUUAGAACAUACUUGCCAGUGGCCAGAUUUGUUGCUUUCUCUGUAUCCAGCCCCCAGAUCAGUUAUGAUAUUUUUGACCGUAGGAAACGAAAACCUAAAAAACAAGGCUUUAAAACAUUGUGGCAUUCGCUGUUUAAUUGGUGAGAAGACCGAGUUGAGUUUGGUGUCUCCAAGGAUUCAUACUCUAUCCAUUCUUCUGUUCCUGCCUCCUCAGAGGGUUGGCUUUUGCCCCUGGUUUGUCACCAUAGGUGCAAAGAGGCCACCACAGCCCCAGGCUUAAGAUUCUCUCGCAACCAAAUUCAAAGGCAAAUGACGGUGGAAGAAGGCUUGCGGUAAGGCCUCUUCCUUUUUUUCAUGGAGGGAACUUUCCAGAAGCACCCUGGAAGAGGAUGGGCUUCAGAAUACGCUAGCCCCGAAAUGUGGUGCCUUGGCUUAUUGAAUGCUUUAAGCUGAAGGAGUUUGAGAAAAUGGCAGAAGCAGGAGGGUCCCUCUGGCCUUCUCCCUGCCCUUUCCCCCUGAAGCAGGUGACACCCUUACAUGGGAGGUGCCCUCCCCACACCCACAGGAAGGGAACAAUCUUAUCUCUGAAGACAGAGAGAGACCACGAAGGAUCUGAACAAACAGGCCUUGCCCAGUCUCCCCAGUUCACAGCACUUACCCCACACACCUUGACCUGUCAUUUGCUCCGUGGCUGUCCACGCUUCAUCAAACAGAGCAUAACAACACUCAGGUUUAACCAUUUCUUACUCUUUAGUUCCCGAGGGCUCCCGUGUCACGUAGAACUCGCAUUAAAUUCACGUGGAUACUUUUUCCCUCUUAAUCUGUCUUUGUCAGUUUAAUUUUCAGACCUAGCUGAAGACUUCCCAUCGUGUCUCAUUGGCCAGAAGCAGAGGGCUCCCUGGUCAGACUUGGCUGCAAGGGAGCCUGAGAUGCGAGUCUCUGAAUAUUUUAGCUCCCCAGAUAGGAAAGGCAGAACAUGAGAAGGGAGUUGGAACAGCUGUUGGGUCUUCAGUGUCUUACAUACCUUAUUCUAGCCACCCGGCUGCCAUCGAGAACGCCUCUUAGCGAGACCGGGGGGAGCACUUGGUGUGCAGAGCGACUGGCCAAAUUUCUGAUGCCUGGAAGUAAUUUUUCUGGUGGGACGCCAUUGGACGGAGGAAGGACUUGUAUUGCUUCCGUGUUUUGGUCCCCUGACUAGGAAGAAGAGAUACCAUUCCUGCAUGAUUUAAAGCAGUCUGGAAAACCAGUACGGGCAAAGCUACAACUUCUGGAAGGCACCAUUCCAGUGGCUCAUCCAGGCUUUGUCCUUUCUUAACACUGAUCUCGUUCCAGAACUCGGUGAGCCGCUGUCUUUCCUAUCUGCCCAGAGUUGCUGAAAUCUUGGAAACUGUAGCCCCUGAGAGAGAAAGAGAAGUAACGGCAACAGGAUGCCUGGGAAGAUCGGACCGUGCGGCAAAGCUUCGACCCUCUGCCAGAGUGGCCCCAGGGGUCUGUGGCGAUGUCUUCCCUAUAUCUGGCUCCCGAAAAUCCUCUCCAUUAGGGAUGUGCAGUGGGAGUUUGUGCAAAGCUAAAAUGUUACUGCCUUUUAUACAUCAGGCCCAUGUUUGUACCUAACUUUGGGUUAAAUGCUAAGCCAUUGAUGAGUAUCUCUGGCUUUUAUGCUUUUGUGACUUUACAUCUCUUUCCAUGUUUUUAUGGAUAUUUUCAACAGACAGUUAAGGGGGUGUGAUCUGGAGAACAAACCAGCAGCCACGUCACCUGGAGACGUCUGAGGACUCCACCACGGGGAUUCUCAGUGUGUGCGAGUGCAAAUGAGCUAUGGACAUGUGAGAAUUCACAAAAUCUUUAAUUAGUGAACGUUGGAAAACAUAGUAACACGUGUAUCUGCACUCGAAGAUUUCAAACGUAUGCAGAUGUGAUGGAAAAAUUAUAAAAAAGUUCAAGUUCCGGUGAUGGCACAGUAGCGUCCCUUCAGUCUAUAUUUUCUUUUUUUUUUUAAUUUUUAAAUGUUUUCAUUUAUUUUUGAGACAGAGAGAGACAGAGCAUGAGAAGGGGAGGGGCAGACACAGAAUCAGAAGCAGGCUCCAGGC